CCCUGAUUUUGAUAGCUGGCUGGUAGACUUGUCUUAAGGAUUACUGGACCUAGUUCGGCGGUAAUCCAUUUCAAAUCGUCUGCUCCAACGUUGAUUUGGAAAACUCAGAACAGGACGUGGUUUAUUUUACUGUAAUAAUAGUCAAGAUUGUAGUAGAGUACGCUUUUAAGGUUUUGUGCCUUUUCCAUUUUGUUUAACGUUAAUUUCGUGUAUUUGCAAGGCGGCUGUACACUUUUGAGAAAAUGUUUUUCAUAGGAAUGAUGCUACGUUAAUAUGAAAGGCGGAUUUAAAAGAUUAACUGUUAUCGUCUCAAGAGAUUCUUUAGAACUUCAAUAUCCAAUCAUUUUUUUCCUCCUCCACCCCAAUGGGGGCGGUGCCCCUGAUGGGGUGGAGGUGCUCCUUUGGGCUUGCAUAGUAGGCGUGUUGGCCUACUGUGCGAGUCCUUGGAGUUUAUUUUUCGUCGCAGACGACCGUGACCUUGUUCUGAGGGGUUUAGAAUGGCUGACUCAAGGAUUUGGAGUUGUGCGAUUAGUUCGUGAAAUACUGCUAUUUCCAUCUGUUACAAAAGUGAGACUUUCCAAAUGUUAGUUUUGAAAUAUGAUAAAACAAGUUUUGAGAAAGCAUUCUGUAACCAUGAAUUAAUGAUUAAAUAUUCCAGUGAGUGGAUCGUCCUGUAAUUGCCGAUUAAUUAAAUAUUCCAGUGUGAAUAGUCCUGUAAUUACCAAUUAAAUACCCCAGUGUGUGGAUCGUCCUGUAAUUACUAAUGUUUGUAAUCACAUGACAUUGACCUUAGUUGUUAAAAAAAGGGUGCGUGUUUUAAAAUUAAAGAUGCGAGGUUCUGAGAUUUUUAUUGA